GUGGCGAACGGGUGAGUAAUAUAUCGGAACGUACCCUAGAGUGGGGGAUAACGUAGCGAAAGUUACGCUAAUACCGCAUACGAUCUAAGGAUGAAAGUGGGGGAUCGCAAGACCUCAUGCUCGUGGAGCGGCCGAUAUCUGAUUAGCUAGUUGGUAGGGUAAAAGCCUACCAAGGCAUCGAUCAGUAGCUGGUCUGAGAGGACGACCAGCCACACUGGAACUGAGACACGGUCCAGACUCCUACGGGAGGCAGCAGUGGGGAAUUUUGGACAAUGGGCGAAAGCCUGAUCCAGCAAUGCCGCGUGAGUGAAGAAGGCCUUCGGGUUGUAAAGCUCUUUUGUCAGGGAAGAAACGGUGAGAGCUAAUAUCUUUUGCUAAUGACGGUACCUGAAGAAUAAGCACCGGCUAACUACGUGCCAGCAGCCGCGGUAAUACGUAGGGUGCAAGCGUUAAUCGGAAUUACUGGGCGUAAAGCGUGCGCAGGCGGUUUUGUAAGUCUGAUGUGAAAUCCCCGGGCUCAACCUGGGAAUUGCAUUGGAGACUGCAAGGCUAGAAUCUGGCAGAGGGGGGUAGAAUUCCACGUGUAGCAGUGAAAUGCGUAGAUAUGUGGAGGAACACCGAUGGCGAAGGCAGCCCCCUGGGUCAAGAUUGACGCUCAUGCACGAAAGCGUGGGGAGCAAACAGGAUUAGAUACCCUGGUAGUCCACGCCCUAAACGAUGUCUACUAGUUGUCGGGUCUUAAUUGACUUGGUAACGCAGCUAACGCGUGAAGUAGACCGCCUGGGGAGUACGGUCGCAAGAUUAAAACUCAAAGGAAUUGACGGGGACCCGCACAAGCGGUGGAUGAUGUGGAUUAAUUCGAUGCAACGCGAAAAACCUUACCUACCCUUGACAUGGCUGGAAUCCUUGAGAGAUCAGGGAGUGCUCGAAAGAGAACCAGUACACAGGUGCUGCAUGGCUGUCGUCAGCUCGUGUCGUGAGAUGUUGGGUUAAGUCCCGCAACGAGCGCAACCCUUGUCAUUAGUUGCUACGAAAGGGCACUCUAAUGAGACUGCCGGUGACAAACCGGAGGAAGGUGGGGAUGACGUCAAGUCCUCAUGGCCCUUAUGGGUAGGGCUUCACACGUCAUACAAUGGUACAUACAGAGCGCCGCCAACCCGCGAGGGGGAGCUAAUCGCAGAAAGUGUAUCGUAGUCCGGAUUGUAGUCUGCAACUCGACUGCAUGAAGUUGGAAUCGCUAGUAAUCGCGGAUCAGCAUGUCGCGGUGAAUACGUUCCCGGGUCUUGUACACACCGCCCGUCACA
rnacentral:rRNA from 1 species